rnacentral:rRNA from 1 species
GAUGAACGCUGGCGGCGUGCCUAAUACAUGCAAGUCGAGCGAACGGACGAGAAGCUUGCUUCUCUGAUGUUAGCGGCGGACGGGUGAGUAACACGUGGAUAACCUACCUAUAAGACUGGGAUAACUUCGGGAAACCGGAGCUAAUACCGGAUAAUAUUUUGAACCGCAUGGUUCAAAAGUGAAAGACGGUCUUGCUGUCACUUAUAGGUGGAUCCGCGCUGCAUUAGCUAGUUGGUAAGGUAACGGCUUACCAAGGCAACGAUGCAUAGCCGACCUGAGAGGGUGAUCGGCCACACUGGAACUGAGACACGGUCCAGACUCCUACGGGAGGCAGCAGUAGGGAAUCUUCCGCAAUGGGCGAAAGCCUGACGGAGCAACGCCGAGUGAGUGAUGAAGGUCUUCGGACCGUAAAACUCUGUUAUUAGGGAAGAACAUAUGUGUAAGUAACUGUGCACAUCUUGACGGUACCUAAUCAGAAAGCCACGGCUAACUACGUG